CUACAAAAUCAUCAACAAAUUCAUGCCGCUUGAACUUUUACACACAAGACAUAACAAAUAUACAAACAUAAAAAUACAUGUAUGGCGGAGAAAUAAAGAGGAAAGGCUCACAAAAUCAACACCAAUGGUACUGAUAUAGCUGUCCACAUAAGAAUCAUCCUGAGAAUUUAAAAAACAGAAAAUAAACUUCAAUUUUAACUAUUAUAUAAAUACUAAAAGCUCAAACUCAACUAAUUUUCGCACUUAUUUUCUUAAAUAACCUCCAACCCACUAACACUAACAACAUAUAACAAUAUGUACAUUUAAUUCAUAAAAAAUAAAAUUUAUAAAAUAAAGGGAAAAAAAGUCAAUGGAGAGUCAAGCUCACGGCAAAUCUCAGAAGCAG
rnacentral:misc_RNA from 1 species